rnacentral:rRNA from 1 species
CCUACGGGUGGCAGCAGUGAGGAAUAUUGGGCAAUGCCCGAAAGGGUGACCCAGCAACGCCGCGUGGAGGAUGAAGGCCUUCGGGUUGUAAACUCCUGUUAGAGGGGAAGAAGCCCCGCAAGGGGUUGACGGUACCCUCAGAGGAAGCCCCGGCUAACUACGUGCCAGCAGCCGCGGUAAUACGUAGGGGGCAAGCGUUACUCGGAAUUACUGGGCGUAAAGGGUGUGUAGGCGGCCGAGCAAGUCGAAGAUGAAAUCCCAGGGCUCAACCCUGAAAUUGUUUUCGAUACUGCUUGGCUUGAGGGUAGUGGAGGAGAGCGGAAUUCCCGGUGGAGCGGUAAAAUGCGUAGAUAUCGGGAGGAACACCAGAGGCGAAGGCGGCUCUCUAUGCUACUCCUGACGCUGAGGCACGAAAGCUAGGGGAACAACCGGGAUUAGAUCCCCCGGUAGU